CAGUCGCCGCGGUAAAACGAAGGGUGCAAGCGUUAAUCGGAAUUACUGGGCGUAAAGCGUGCGUAGGCGGUUUGUUAAGUCUGUUGUGAAAUCCCCGGGCUCAACCUGGGAAUGGCAAUGGAUACUGGCAAGCUAGAGUGUGUCAGAGGAUGGUGGAAUUCCCGGUGUAGCGGUGAAAUGCGUAGAGAUCGGGAGGAACAUCAGUGGCGAAGGCGGCCAUCUGGGACAACACUGACGCUGAGGCACGAAAGCGUGGGGAGCAAACAGGAUUAGAGACCCCCGUAGUCCCUGUCUCUUAUAC
rnacentral:rRNA from 1 species